rnacentral:rRNA from 1 species
UGGGGAAUAUUGGACAAUGGGCGAAAGCCUGAUCCAGCCAUGCCGCGUGUGUGAAGAAGGUCUUCGGAUUGUAAAGCACUUUAAGUUGGGAGGAAGGGCAUUAACCUAAUACGUUAGUGUUUUGACGUUACCGACAGAAUAAGCACCGGCUAACUCUGUGCCAGCAGCCGCGGUAAUACAGAGGGUGCAAGCGUUAAUCGGAAUUACUGGGCGUAAAGCGCGCUUAUGUGGUUUGUUAAGUUGGAUGUGAAAUCCCCGGGCUCAACCUGGGAACUGCAUUCAAAACUGACUGACUAGAGUAUGGUAGAGGGUGGUGGAAUUUCCUGUGUAGCGGUGAAAUGCGUAGAUAUAGGAAGGAACACCAGUGGCGAAGGCGACCACCUGGACUAAUACUGACACUGAGGUGCGAAAGCGUGGGGAGCAAACA